rnacentral:rRNA from 1 species
GAUGAACGCUGGCGGCGUGCCUAAUGCAUGCCAGUCGAGCGAACAGACGAGGAGCUUGCUCCUCUGACGUUAGCGGCGGACGGGUGAGUAACACGUGGAUAACCUACCUAUAAGACUGGGAUAACUUCGGGAAACCGGAGCUAAUACCGGAUAAUAUAUUGAACCGCAUGGUUCAAUAGUGAAAGACGGUUUUGCUGUCACUUAUAGAUGGAUCCGCGCCGCAUUAGCUAGUUGGUAAGGUAACGGCUUACCAAGGCAACGAUGCGUAGCCGACCUGAGAGGGUGAUCGGCCACACUGGAACUGAGACACGGUCCAGACUCCUACGGGAGGCAGCAGUAGGGAAUCUUCCGCAAUGGGCGAAAGCUUGACGGAGCAACGCCGCGUGAGUGAUGAAGGUCUUCGGAUCGUAAAACUCUGUUAUUAGGGAAGAACAAAUGUGUAAGUAACUAUGCACGUCUUGACGGUACCUAAUCAGAAAGCCACGGCUAACUACGUG